GUUGACUUUUUAGUGGCCAUCAUGUAAAAGUUCCCAAAAGUCUUUCUAUUCUUUUGGUAAAUCUAUUUUUAAUUCAACAAUUUUUAAUUUGAAAAUUUAUUCCUGACAAAUUUGUUUACUUAUAAAAAAAUUAAAAAAUGCCUACUAUAAGUUUUUCUCUGAAGAAUGAAAAAAUAAAAUAUGUUUGACCGAAUUUAAAAAGUCGACAGAAAUCUGACGUGGAACCUCCCAUAUAUUAAAAAACAAGAUCCAAUGAUUACAUUCUCAUUGCUGGAAAAUUGUUCACACGCGAGUCUUUGGAGAGUUGUAGUAAGAUUUCAGUGACAAGAUAUGUCGGCGAUUUGUCAACAGUAUUAUUUACAAGAAGAGAACUUGAAACGUCAUCUUUAACCGGCAGGCAAUCCAAUGCCCACAAUAAUAGAGAUUUAUGUGAUCCUAAUACAUUGUACCCGGAGCGAGUGAAAGCUAUAGAAAGAAUACACCUGAUACGAAAAAAUUAAUUAAAUCUGCAAAGCGCACCAAAUGCUCAAGUGCAAAAAGGCGAGCAAGAAAACCGC